rnacentral:rRNA from 1 species
GAACGCUGGCGGCAGGCCUAACACAUGCAAGUCGAACGCUUCAGCAAUGAAGAGUGGCAGACGGGUGAGUAACGCGUGGGAACCUUCCCAGUGGUACGGAAUAGCCCAGGGAAACUUGGGGUAAUACCGUAUAAGCCCUUAGGGGGAAAGAUUUAUCGCCAUUGGAUGGGCCCGCGUCGGAUUAGCUUGUUGGUGAGGUAAAAGCUCACCAAGGCGACGAUCCAUAGCUGGUCUGAGAGGAUGAUCAGCCACACUGGGACUGAGACACGGCCCAGACUCCUACGGGAGGCAGCAGUGGGGAAUAUUGGACAAUGGGCGCAAGCCUGAUCCAGCCAUGCCGCGUGAGUGACGAAGGCCUUAGGGUUGUAAAGCUCUUUUGGCGGGGACGAUAAUGACAGUACCCGCAGAAUAAGCUCCGGCUAACUUCGUGCCAGCAGCCGCGGUAAUACGAAGGGAGCUAGCGUUGUUCGGAAUUACUGGGCGUAAAGCGCACGUAGGCGGACUUGUUAGUCAGGGGUGAAAUCCCGGGGCCCAACCUCGGAACUGCCUUUGAUACUGCAAGUCUGGAGUCCGGAAGAGGUGGGUGGAAUUCCUAGUGUAGAGGUGAAAUUCGUAGAUAUUAGGAGGAACACCGGUGGCGAAGGCGGCCCACUGGUCCGGUACUGACGCUGAGGUGCGAAAGCGUGGGGAGCAAACAGGAUUAGGUACCCUGGUAGUCCACGCCGUAAACGAUGGAUGCUAGCUGUCGGCAAGCUUGCUUGUCGGUGGCGCAGCUAACGC